CUUCAGCGAGCCCAGCCACAGCGGCUCGCCGUCCUUCUUCUUGCGGCCGUAGGUGGCCAGCAGGGCCUGCGCCUC
rfam:Streptomyces varsoviensis strain NRRL B-3589 P027contig404.2, whole genome shotgun sequence.